CAGAGGUGCAGAGCCGUGUGACUACCUGUCCUGCUCCCCAAACACCUCUGCCAAUGCCGCGCUGAGAACGGCUUGGGCAGGGAGCAGUGGGGCCUGGCACCAAGCAACCUCAGUGGCACCCCAGGCCCUGCAGAUCCCCAGGCCAACGAGGGGCCUGUAGCUCAGGCUGGGGCCUGCUCUGCCUGGGCAGCGACUACCAGCCCCCUUGAGCCCUACCAGACCUUGAGAGGCUCCCCUGUAGGGUCCAGCUUUCCUGGUGUCCCUCACAGGCCUGGGGCACCCGCUGGACUACACGAGUCACCACGUGGGCUGGGGUUGUGACUCAGGGUAGAGCACGUGCCUAGCAUGUUGAGGCAAUGAGUUCGAUUCUCAGCACUGUGUAUGAAUUAUAAAGGAGCAGGGACCGGUGCCAUCAACUAAAAGCAACUAAAAAAUAUGUUAAAAAAGUACAGAAAUAUUACUGAGUGGUUUCUGUCUCUUGGUUGGACAGACUGAUACAUUAAUAACAAGAAAAAAGUUCUAGUGAAAUCUUGUAACUUUUGUCUAAGUGAUUUCUAAAAUUCUAUUUUUAAGACAGUAUGUGGAAAGAGUGAGCUUGUGGGUGAUGGGGAGACUCUCCUUCUGCUCGUGGGAUGGAUCUACGCUUCUUGCCAGCUCUCCUAGGAAGCGUUGUUCUCCGUAGUGCAGCGGGCCUCGGCGGUUCUCUGGUCUGAGUGGGGGUGUCCACUUUCUGUUGUUGAUUCCGGGUCUGUUCCAUCUGGCCGUCUGAGAGCAGGCCUGUGUGACUCUGUUCCCUUGCCCCUCGGGUGCGCCUGUUGACCUGGAUGUUGGUCCGUCCUGGUGAGUGUCCGUGGGCGCUCAAGAGUGGGCUCUGCCCUCGUGGGAUGGGGCAGCCGUAGCUGUCCAUCGUACCCAGGGGACCCAUGGUGCCGCUGGGCUGGACGUCCUGACCGCCCUGCCUGUGGGUCUGGGGUGGCUGAGAGCUGUGGCUGCCCCAGCGACUGUGGCGCGCCCUCUCACUGCAGGUCUGUGGGCUUCGCCGUGCACCAUUGCCUUUCUGAGACAUGCACCCCUGCACCAGGCAGCGCCUGUGACUUCCUCGUGACUUCCACGGCUCCAGCUGAGACCAGUGCCGCUCCUCCUGCCUCCUCUGUUCCCCAGUCUUCUCCGCUCGCUCCCUCGUGGGCGCCUCACUUGCCUUUGUCUCCGUCGCCUGUGAGGCUGGGGUGGAACCUAAAAGCCCUCUGCCGCUGAGCUGCACCUCUUCAUGUGUUCUGAGCAGGGUCUUGCUGAGUUUCCCAGUCUGGCCUCAGACUCACAGUCCUCCUGCCUCUGCCUCCUCAGUAGCUGGGGUCACAGACGUGGCCACUGUGCCCAGCUACAUCAUACCUCUCAUGGUUGCUCCGUGCUUCCUGGAUUGUUCUGCUGUUAUUUUUUCUCUUAGAUUUUUAAUUUCAGAGGGUUCUUUUCUCAUGUUCUCACCUCACAUUCUUAGCCAUGAGCCUCCCAGGGAACCCAUCCAAAGUGCUCAUCAGCUCUGGGCAGUUUUGAUCUCUAGCCUUCUUUCUGAUCUUAGGAUUUCUGUCUCUCUGCUUGCAUUGUUCAGUUGUUCUCUCAGCAUUCACUUUUUCCCAUUAGAUCCCAUAACACAUCGAUCAUAGCUUUUUAAAAUUCCUGGUGUUAUCAUUCAACAUUCUUGUCAUAUCUGACUCUGCUUCUGAUGCUCAUUUAGGCUCUUCAGACUAUUUUUUCUUUGCUUUUUAAUCUGCCUUGUAAUUUUUGGUUGAAAGCGGAAUAUGAUGUAUUGGAUAAAAGGAACUGCUGAAAAUAGACCACUAGUGAUUGUAUUAGUCUGUUUUCUGUUGCUGUAUCAAAAUAAUUGAGGCAGGCUACUUUUAAAGAAAAAAGGUUUGUUUAGCUAACAGUUUUGGAGGCCAAACAUCCAAGUUCAGGUGGCCCUAUCUGCUCUUAUGAGGCUCCCUUGUCGUCAUGGCAAGAGCAAGCAUGAUAAAUAGGAUCACAGAAUCUGCCAGGAGACCAGGCAGACUCAGGGGCUCCUUUGGAACAACUGGCUCUUGCCAGGUGGGCUUUUGUCCCCUCUGCAGGUGAUGCCCCUGUAAACUAAUCCCGUCCUGUGAGGUCCCACCUCCUAAAGGUCCCUCCACCUCCCAGCACCUCCACCCUGAGGCCGAGCUUCUACACAUGACCUCUGGGACGCGCACAGCUUGUGGAAACCCCGCAGUAGUGUGGAGGGCACCUGGCCCUGUGACCAGGCCUCGGUGCCGGGGAGCCUGCACCCUGACCGUGCAUCUCCAUGUGUUUCCCAGUCUCUCCCAGGGCAGUGCGGCUGCAGGGCUGAAGCCAAGUGCUCUCUGCCCACACGGAGGGCAGGGGCUGCUGAAAUCAGGUUGGCCUGGCUCUGUCAGCAGGCCUGGGGUGGAGGGCCAGCUGGGGGGCCGUGUCACGGUGGCUCCUUUACUCCUGUCUGUGCUGGAGCGUGAGGGGGUCUUCCUCCCAUGUUGUCCCCUGGAGCUAAACCUAGGGAUGCCAGGUCCCUGCAUAGGUCCCCAGAGUCCUCAUUUCUCAGGCUUCUCCACCCUGGGCCUCCAGCAAGUGGCCAGUGCUGAUGGACCUGCCCAGUGCCCACGCCUGGCCCAGGGCCUCCGCUCAGGUGAGUCCCGUGUCCCCAUCCUGCCCCUCCAGCCUCGGGAUGGCAUUCCUCGCUUCCUGGUGGGUCUGAGAAGAGUGUGGGUCUUCAGGAUGCAGGUCUUGAUCAUGGGGCUGGAGGGCGACACCCCGCCUGAAGUGCUGGGCCUGGAGCUAGACGUGGACGGCUGGUGUUGGAAACCUCCAACUAGAAAACAAGACAUGGCAGAGCUGCCAUCUACGAGCGGAAGGUGUGCCAUUGCCCAGACCAUUAGCAAGCCAGGGACACAGUGCCAGACAGGAGCCAUGGUGUCCCCGGGGCCGAGACCAAAGGGACUGCGGCUGACUCACCAGCUAGUGCCAUCUAUGCACCUGCAUCACAGACAGCUGUAGAGCUGAGUCCUCUCCAACAGAACGCCCAGGGUCAGGACCAGGCCUCGGUCCUGGGGAGCCUGCACCCUGACCGUGCAUCAAACCUGGAAACCUGGUCCUCGAGCUCACCGCCACACACGGUGAAGUCAUCUGGAACACAUGCUACCUGGAGGUGGAACGUUCCCAUGGGUGUAGAGCACCUACUGGUUAGAACUGGAAGGUACUCAGAUAAGAUCAUAGCAAGAACUGGGGGAUUAAUAUUUAAAGUAACCUCCAUAAUAAAAUCGAACAAGUUGGUAAAAACCUUGUAACCUGCAUUAAGUUUAUCUUUUAAAAUAUAUCACCUGUUGUUACACUUCUAAAUGUGUCUGUAUACCAACUUAACCAGCACAUGUUCUGAACAUGCUGGAAUGGUUUUUUAGAACCUUUAGCAGGAUUCUUGCAAUGUGACCCAGAAUCCAGCCCAAUGGGAGCUCAGCUCAGUGCCUCCUGGCUGUAGACCCCCUGCUCCAGCUGGGGCCUGGGACAAGGGCAGUGUUUUGGUAAUCACAGCUUUAGAACAAACCUCAGGUGCCCAGGAUGCCACAGCUUGCACCCCCGUGUGGAAUCCGCUAUGAGGCGGGGCCUCCUGCUCACCCAAUGCCUGUGGGCUGGCUCUGCCCCAGCCUGAGCUGGCCAGGGGGUGGCCUACAGCCACAGGGCUGCAGCCUCAAAUCCUAAACUUAAAUCAUACCCAUACUCUUGCAGGGACAGAAUUUGCAACUUGUGACAACACUCUACCUGCAGGCAACUCAGGUGUCCCAUGUUGCUUCACUGGGCAGAGAGCCCUUGCCCCCUCCUUUGUGGCAGCAGUCCCAACCACUCCAGGUGCUCAGUGGCCCCAGGACUGCUUAGGGGGACAGAGUUGUAGGUCCUUGAGGCAGAGGGUCCCUGCUAGUGGCUGGAUAUGCACAGUCUUGGGCUCAGCAUCAUUCGUGGGGACAUUGCUUGGGUCAGAGAUCCAGAGUGUCCCCAAAGCUACAAAGCACUUACAUGACAAGUUACCCAGAAAGGGUCAUGGUUGGGUGGAUCCCAACCAGGAGAAGAAGCUCAGCAGGUAUUCCGAGGCUCAGCCAGUCUAGGAAAUGGGCAUUUGUCUAAGUAUGGGGAAAGUGGCUCAGUGUCUCCAUUACUUUGUGGUGUGUUACAGCCGAGAUCUGAGUCUGGGCAGCCUUUGGUCAAGUCCAUGCUCUGUAGCAUGCAGAAAUGCCUGCUCUUCAGAGAAGCGGGAGAAGGUUUUCUACGACAUUUUGGCAAUAGUUCUCUUUGUAAAUCCAAUGUAUUUUUUAAUAAGUCAUUUAGGAAAGAUAGAAGUGAUUUAAGGAACGCGGGUGCCAUGGUUUGUCAUGUUUUGGAAACUUACCCCAACCAGCAGGGCUGACCGUGGACCUAAGGACACGGCUCUGCCUGUGCAGUAACGAGCACAGGUGCAGGUGGAGGGUCAGUGGCAGUGGGCGUGGGCGUGGGUGUGGGUGUGUUCAUCUCUGGUUCCUUCUCCUGCAUGUCAGUGCAGCAGUGACGCCCUGGCCAGAGGCAGCCCCGCCAUCUCACCUGCCUCCAGCACCACGAGCCAAAUCAGCCUCCACUGCUUAUAAAUCACCCAGAUUGUGUUCUGAUAGAGCAGCCAGAAGUGCACUAGGACACUGCACCUACAUUUAAUUCCUCAAUUAUUUUUCUAAGAGCAUUUCUAAGAGCUAGUAGGAAGAGUUCUGCAUGCAUAUUUGAAUCACUGACUUUCUUCAGAUUAAAAAGUCAACUGUAAACCCUGCACUUAAGAAGUUUUAUGUUUCUACCCAUGACUGCCAAAGGCAAUUGAAGGACUUUGAGAAGCGGCCAGAACUCCAUCACCAAUGACUUCACAUCCUCUGCGCCUCCCAUGCAGGGGAGACCUUCCUCACAUGACAGAAGAAUCCAGUUGCUGCUAUGGCAAGUACUGCAAAAUGUACAGCUGAAGAAACACACUUUCUUUGAGCCCAGGAGUUCUCCAGGUAAGGAUUUGGGCCAGUGUUUUUCUCCACUGAGGUCACUUGUGGUUUUCAGUUGGCGCUGGAGUUGGUCUGGGGACCAUAUGGCUGGACUUCCCUGUCCGGUCCUUGGUGGGGAAGGCAGGUCCUCUGCAGGAAGACUUCUUUCAGGGGAGCUGCCUCAGAGGUCAUGCUGGCCCACUCAUCAUCUCCUGGUUACAGACAGGCCAUGAGGCCAACUGCAAUGGAAAGGACAGGACUAGAAGCCACCUCUUGCUGGAGCGGUGCAACACACUGGGUGGGAGACCUGUUGUGAAAAUACAGUCUACUCUGUGGCCUCACUCCACACACUUGGCCAAGACCCCGGGGCCUUGCCCCUUCAGCAUCCCACUCCAGGACCUGUCAGGAUCCUGCAUGAUGAAGCACUUUGCGUAGUUCCUCAGGAUUAGCGGCUCAGGGACAUUUCCUUCUCAGCCCAAAGAGUUGGGACCUAGAGAGCCAGGGCCCUGACUCCCAGUGGUGGGACAGGGACCAGGUGCCACAGUAGACAGGCCCACCUGAAGGGGUACCGUGAAAGGCAUGAAGUGUGCACUGUCCACAACAAUCCUGAGAUCCAGCCCAACGCAGGGACACACUGCUCCCGAUGGCCCCCAUGGCUGCAAUUCUGGCUUUGGGCCUUGACCCCGCCCGCUUUGAGUCAGAGGCUUCUAUUGCAUUACUUUGGGCUUGUUUAAUCCACACUAGUGUUGACUCUGAUGGUAUCAUUCUCCUGAUAACUUGCAGCUUUCCAUGAAUGUUAUGGAUGUUCACCCAGUUGGACAAAUCCAAUCGGGGGUGAGUACCAGGGAUUGAAUUCAGACGCACUCAACCACUGAGCCACAUCUUCAGUCCUAUUUUGUAUUUUCUUUAGAGACAGUGUCUCACUGAGUUGCUUAGCACCUCACUUUUCCUAAGGCUGGUUUGAACUCGCAAUCCUCCUGCCUCAGCCUCCCGAGCUGCUGGGAUUACAGGUGUGCACCACCGUGCCUGGCUCUGAUUAUCUUUUAAACAGGCUCUUUCCUAUUUUGGGCUCCUUUUGAGAGAGUGUUGUGAAGCAAUGCUCUUAAGAUUCUUGGAAGGGCUGAUUAAUGAGGGCCUGAGAAGACCUUCACAGAGGCCUUUGCUCACUGAAAGGAGCAAUUCAAAUCUGAACACAGGAGGUUUACAGCCCGAGCCUAUUUUACAGACAGGUCUUCCUGACAGUGUCCUGGAUUCCAUCUUUGCCGUGAGCCCUUUUCUUUAAGAAUCUUCUGCUGGGAGAACCUGGUGGUGCAGGAUUCAAGAGUAUGAGAAUGGAAACCCAGGCCUAAAAUCCUAAACUUAAAUCGUACCCAAUGACUUUUGCCACUUCUCUAGGUUAAAGCACACCCUCUGGCCACCCUAGACUCGAGGGUCCUGCCCUUGCCGUAGGUAACUGGAGUGGGAUGGCCUUUGCAAUCUCCCAAGGUUGGCCCGUUGGCCACAAAACAUUUACAUUGUUCAACCUUGUUCACCCUCUGGUAGGACCCCCUGAGUCUCGCCCAUACCUGGUUCAAACCAGGCCUGGCAGCAACUGAGGCUCCUUGGUAGCAUCUCUUCUUGUUCCAGAGAUUUGGGAGCUGAUAUAAUAUAACACACUGUGCCCCUCCACACCCCCUGGAAAGACACCAGGAAAGCACAAGCAGUGCUGCCACUCAAAAUGGGGAGGAACAAGUGCAAGGAAGUCGAAGAUUCGAAAUCUGUGGGGCAAACACUCUUGAAUUCCUCAGCCUCAAUGCAAGAAAACUCUGGUUCAAGCCCAGCUCCACUCCAAAGGGCUCUGGAUCCAUUGUUGUUUGCUGCCCCCAGGAACCCAUCUUGCCGGAGACCACCUUCCAUCCCAAGAGAGGCCUCUGCGUUUGCAGCAGGCAGAUUUCCCAGCAUUCCUGCCCGCAGGAGGGUGCAGGGUCACAAGAGUCCCCUGUUCAAUUUCAGCUGUCUCAGUGUAGUAGCAGCAGGGGAGUGCUCUUGCCAGUAUGCAUUUCUUAAUGACGUUCCUGAGCAGUGCCCCACUGUAGAAAGAGACCACUGUCUGUGGAUGGGCCAUGAUCUUAAAGUAGGACAGAAGAGACUGGACACCUGAGGAAUUUUUCAGGAAGUAGGUUUAUUGACUGCAGGGUUCAGAGGUGGCUCUCACCUAAGAAUUCAUCCUCUGAACAUGAGUACAGAAAUUCUUUGAACUUAUUGGUGGGGGCUAGGAGGUUCAUAUGACAAGCGCAUUCCCUUCCAUCCUCUACAGGGGUUUCACGAGUUUUUCCUGCAAACCUGGCAUUUAUAAAUAAAGAGGAAGCUACAAAACACA